UGAAAACACCGGUUCUCGUACGAUCGCCAAAGUUAAGCAACGUCAAGCCUGGUCAGUACUUAGAUUGGUGACCACUUGGGAAUAUCAGGUAAUG